ensembl:lncRNA
AGCUAGUUGAAGAGAACAAUGACUCAGUGUUCCAGUGUGACUGAGGGACAGUGCGCUGAAGCUUUACUCUCUCUACUCGAGUUGUAUAGAGAGCGCGUGCUUUGAAGUACAGCUGGCUGCAAUACUCAGCCAAUCUGAGCGCGCGACGAGCCGCGUCCGACCAAUGAGCGACGCGACCAUGACAGAAAUACUAAAGCUGCACGUCAAUCAAUGACUGGGGUACUGAUCCCACUGUCAAGCAAUAAGCCAUCAGCUAUUUUUCAUCGUUUUAUAUAUAUAUAUGCAUAUGGCCAUCAAGGCGCGCAAUCUGCACAGACUAUAUAGCUCUCAGCUCAUAUUGAUGUUUAAUAGGCAUCCUCCGAUGAACCUGUCGAUGAAAUGCAAGGAUGCAUCUUGGAGGAAGAGGACGGAGGGGCACCACUGAUCCCACAACAGGACGUAACGUGCAGAAGGAAGACGCGGCCGCUGCUGUCCCCACUGGAGCAGAGACGACGUGAGCCUUUGAUGUUCCACUCAAAAUUAUUAAUUCCCCGCGUCAGGUUCUGUGUUUCAUCUACAUUUAAAGUCCAAAUCUUGAGUGGCCUUGUGAAACCCUGCCCCCUAUCAAGAGCUCCAGAGUAUGGACUGAUCUACAGACAAACUCUGACGGCCUGAAAUCAAAGGCAUGUGCCUCACUCAGUGACUAAACAGGCUCGUCGUAAGGAAACAAGGCACCAUAUCGCAUCGUUAAAUGAUCUAGAACAAGUUCAGACGAGGUAACAACGGACAUAUUUACUGGCUACAAUGUUAAGUAGCAGUACAAAUAGGUUGGAAAAAGUUUUUGGCCCUUUUUUUUAAUUAUUGCUGAACCACACGCACAGGAUUGUGGGAUGUCGUAGGCGGUGAAGGAUCUAUGAGGUCUUCAAACUCCAACCAGAUGAAGGCAAGUUAGAUAGGAUGUUGUGCAAACUGUGGACUCUGACGUCGCUUGUUACCUUCCUACUAGCAUUUUUCAGUUUUUAGGCAUCGUCUGAGUGUGUCUAAAGCCCAGGGCCGUAACCACCAUAUAGACACUGUGGGGGACAAGUCCUUCUCCCCAAUAAUUAUAAAUGACAAAUUUCACAAAAUGUUACAUUUGUAGGCUGGCUUCUCUCAGUGGUCUAACCAUGCUAACCAUGAAUGAAGACUGGCUUUACUAUUCACAGAAACCUUUAAAAAGUCCCUCCCCCUAAUGUUCAAAUCACUGAGGCAUUAUAUUUACUGUAGGCUUGAAAAUGAAUAAAAGUGAAGACUAUUGUUUAGGAAACCA